UGCCACAUGCUGGGGCUUAAUGGUAUGUGGAACAGACACCCAGGGUUCCAGCACCGUGUGCUGUGUGGGAGAAUGAGAGCCACGCUGGCCAAGCAGAACCACACCUGGGGCACUUCCACAGUCAGCCAGACACCACAGAAGCACAGGCAGGCAGUCGACCUUGUGGGCCCAGCCCUCUGUUGAGGGAGAAGUGACACUGUGGCGGGCCACUCGGACUCCACUGUGCUCUGCACUUGGAAGCAAAUGCCUUUGGACUGGCUGGAUUCCUGUGUGCCUGGAUCAUGCAGGGAAACCUCAAGAAGGAGAUGGCAGGCUUCCUUUUUUAUGAUGCUGGAACUACCGAGUUGCUGGAGAUGCUGUUUUGGACAAGAUAGAAAAGCGAGCCCCUGGUCCUCAUGGAGCCCACAUCCUUACAGAAUAUCAAAAUUAGACAGAGUCAGUCUGUGACCAUGAUGGAUCAAGGCAAGAUCGAGCCCACCCACAACGAUGUCUGAAUAAAAAACAUGAACAUGGUCCACACCACAAGAAAAGUCACGUCCUGGCUGAGCAAGUGACCACAGCUUUUGCUUUUCCCUCUCUUUCUUUUCUUCUUCUCUCUCUUUUUAAUACCAGUUGCAUCAUUAGCCUCAGUAUAGUCUUUCCUCAUACUAGAUAAAAUUUAAGGUAUCCAUUCAUAGAAAUACCCCUGCUUACUGACCCCAUCCAAUCUAAAACAA